CAAUGGGUUGGCAUUUAGUCAGCCGACUCAUGUCAUGCACCAUGCGCCCAUUUUUUUGGCCUCAGGGCCAAACAGAACCACAGGGUCGAUCUUAGUCCCCUGGCACACCUCGCACCAUCUUACAUGGCCUCCCUGAUUAUUAUUAUGUAUCACAGCGAGCGACUAUGAGAGGUACUCCGACAGCUACUCCUAGCCCGACUGUGUCAUAACCAUAGACCUCAUAUAACCCAAUUGAUGUGACGUCUGGGCGUCAAGAAAGUAGCUCUGAUUCUGACGACGAACCUCCCCGACGAGGAGACCUUGAGACAGUUGAUGAGUAUGGUCGUGUCAUAAUCAAGCCAGCUGGAUACGGCUUCUAUCCGAGCAAAGCAAUUAAAAGGGUUUCACAGUCAGUUAAAUCACUAUAUAGAGGCGCCAUUUCGUCUUGGGGCAAGGUGUCAGUGGAUAUGAAGAAGCAGAUGUUUGUAGAGUUCAGGACAAGGUGUUCUUGGAAGCCGGAACAUGAGACAUUAGUAGCGUAGAAUUUCAAGAAAAAGGCGGGGACUAUACUUAAGCAUGCGUUAAGUAGAGGCCGUGAAGAAAUCCUGAAGCCUAAGUGGAUCCGUGAUGAUAACUGGAAGAAGCUGCUGCACUUCUGGGUGACUGAUCCGACGUUUUUGAAGCAAAGUGAAAAUGGGAAGAAGACCAAGGCCUCAGAUAAGGGUGGAUUUCCACACACCAGUGGGGUCACCAGCCAUGAAGACGUUAGAAUGAAGCUGGUAUGUAACCCUCUUUAGCUUUGGCUAUCUAUUAUGCAAUUUAAUCUUUCCACUGCUUUGGUUGGUUGCAAUUUAAUCGUCACCACUGAGUAUUCUACUUGUGGAAAAAAGGAAUAGGAUGUUAAAGGGAGUGGGAUUGAACAAAUUUCUUAAUUUCUACCAUUAUACCCUUAGGUUAACCAUCAUUUAGAAGGGAAUAAAUAAUUUCUUACUCACACCGAAAUAGAAUGUUCUCAUUUGCUAUGUCAGAUUGAAGAACUGGAAAUGUGGGUGUCUAGUAAUUUUUGGAGGAACACGUUGAUAUCAUAUGUUACCUCAUGUAUUUACUACUUGGUUUUUGAAGAACAGGGUAGAUUGUGUCUAAUAUCAUAGAGCCUUUU